UAGCAUCUCUGGCUCCAUUUCCUUGUCACACAGCACAAGAAUAAGUGUAUUCAAGAUUAAUCAGAAGGAAUGAAUUACGUGGGCACUCAAAGGUCCAUUUAUUAUGAUCCUAUUCGAUUUCCAAAACAUUUGAACAAAUGUACCGAUAUGAAAAAUAGAAUAUCAGUAAUCCAUUACCUUUUCAUCUAAAGCAUGCUGUA